AGAGUUUGAUUCUGGCUCAGAUUGAACGCUGGCGGAAUGCUUUACACAUGCAAGUCGAACGGCAGCACGGGAGCUUGCUCCUGGUGGCGAGUGGCGAACGGGUGAGUAAUGCGUCGGAACGUACCGAGUAAUGGGGGAUAACGCAGCGAAAGCUGUGCUAAUACCGCAUACGCCCUGAGGGGGAAAGUGGGGGAUCGCAAGACCUCACGUUAUUCGAGCGGCCGACGUCUGAUUAGCUAGUUGGUGGGGUAAUGGCCUACCAAGGCGACGAUCAGUAGCGGGUCUGAGAGGAUGAUCCGCCACACUGGGACUGAGACACGGCCCAGACUCCUACGGGAGGCAGCAGCGGGGAAUUUUGGACAAUGGGGGCAACCCUGAUCCAGCCAUUCCGCGUGAGUGAAGAAGGCCUUCGGGUUGUAAAGCUCUUUCAGCUGGAACGAAACGGUACGCUCUAACAUAGCGUGCUAAUGACGGUACCGGCAGAAGAAGCACCGGCUAACUACGUGCCAGCAGCCGCGGUAAUACGUAGGGUGCGAGCGUUAAUCGGAAUUACUGGGCGUAAAGCGUGCGCAGGCGGAUUGUUAAGCAAGACGUGAAAGCCCCGGGCUUAACCUGGGAAUGGCGUUUUGAACUGGCAGUCUAGAGUGCGUCAGAGGGGGGGUGGAAUUCCACGUGUAGCAGUGAAAUGCGUAGAGAUGUGGAGGAACACCAAUGGCGAAGGCAGCCCCCUGGGAUGACACUGACGCUCAUGUACGAAAGCGUGGGUAGCAAACAGGAUUAGAUACCCUGGUAGUCCACGCCCUAAACGAUGUCAACUGGUUGUUGGGGGAGUGAAAUCCCUUAGUAACGAAGCUAACGCGUGAAGUUGACCGCCUGGGGAGUACGGUCGCAAGAUUAAAACUCAAA
rnacentral:rRNA from 1 species